AUGAAGCGUCCACAAGUCGCGCCAAUUGCAACUGAUGUACUGAUGACCAAAAUGGUUGUAUGGUUAACUCUACUCAAACAAUGCGACACUCGACAAAGGAAAUGGAAAUGUUCUAACAUGAAGAAUGUCUACAAGUAUAAAAUACGAUACCGGAAGCAACUUUGUUCUUGGAUAAUUAUAAUGAUAAGAUUUUAUCACAGGAAGCAAUAAGAUCGUUAAACUUGCUGCAUUUGAAGGCAAUGUUACAUGAGGUUAAAGUAUCUGAUCUAUCUUCACUUGCGCGCCACCACUCCUUAACGUUCGUACUACAGUCCGGAAAUAUCCUUUGUGCUCGUAUACGAUCGCUCAAAUAACAUAUGGUUAUUAAUUUGUUAAAUAUUCAACGUGAUCGAAACAUAGAAUGGACUGCAAACUGGUUCAAAGUGAUCACAUAAAAUAGUUUCAACCAAGUUGUGGCAUCGCGCAAAUCUAAGGUGUCCAUGUCAGAUGACUAGGUCGUUUUUCUCUAUUACACAUUUGGCGAAGGAAAAAUGAUGAAAAAUGAUGGACGGAAUAAUGACGAGUUGUUAUCAGAUAGAACAAAUCGAGAUACUAACGCAAUCUUAAAUGGAAAGUAUAUUUUGAAGAUAUAUGAAAGUAUAUAGAUUCUUAAGAUAAAAGGAAAGAUUGUUGCACCUCUCGUGGCGAAAUAGGUAAAACGGAUGUGAAGACUACCAGCUUGCACGUUUUAUUGUAGAUGGUGCUACAACUCCUGUUAAUGUUCUUUAUCGUAGCUUACAAAAAAUUUAAUAUUCUAUUACAUACGACAUUGUAUUUAUUCAAUAAAAACUGCACUGCAUUAUUGCGAUGUAU